GACGAACGCUGGCGGCGUGCUUAACACAUGCAAGUCGAACGGAAAGGCCCUGCUUUUGUGGGGUGCUCGAGUGGCGAACGGGUGAGUAACACGUGAGUAACCUGCCCUUGACUUUGGGAUAACUUCAGGAAACUGGGGCUAAUACCGGAUAGGAGCUCCUGCUGCAUGGUGGGGGUUGGAAAGUUUCGGCGGUUGGGGAUGGACUCGCGGCUUAUCAGCUUGUUGGUGGGGUAGUGGCUUACCAAGGCUUUGACGGGUAGCCGGCCUGAGAGGGUGACCGGCCACAUUGGGACUGAGAUACGGCCCAGACUCCUACGGGAGGCAGCAGUGGGGAAUAUUGCACAAUGGGCGGAAGCCUGAUGCAGCAACGCCGCGUGCGGGAUGACGGCCUUCGGGUUGUAAACCGCUUUCGCCUGUGACGAAGCGUGAGUGACGGUAAUGGGUAAAGAAGACCGGCUAACUACGUG
rnacentral:rRNA from 1 species